rnacentral:rRNA from 1 species
GAUGAACGCUGGCGGCGUGCUUAACACAUGCAAGUCGAAUGUAGUUUACUACAUGGCGGACGGGUGAGUAACGCGUGAGCAAUCUGCCCAUAUCUGGGGGAUAACAGUUGGAAACGACUGAUAAUACCGCAUAAUAUCAUAGGAAGGCAUCUUCUCUUGAUCAAAGAUUUAUCGGAUAUGGAUGAGCUCGCGUCUGAUUAGCUAGUUGGUGAGGUAACGGCUCACCAAGGCGACGAUCAGUAGCCGACCUGAGAGGGUGAUCGGCCACAUUGGGACUGAGACACGGCCCAAACUCCUACGGGAGGCAGCAGUGGGGAAUAUUGGUCAAUGGAGGAAACUCUGAACCAGCAACGCCGCGUGAAUGAUGAAGGUCUUCGGAUUGUAAAGUUCUUUUCUAAGGGACGAAGAAAGUGACGGUACCUUAGGAAUAAGCCUCGGCUAACUACGUGCCAGCAGCCGCGGUAAUACGUAGGAGGCGAGCGUUAUC